ACUAAGCGUACACGGUGGAUGCCCUGGCAGUCAGAGGCGAUGAAGGACGUGCUAAUCUGCGAUAAGCGUCGGUAAGGUGAUAUGAACCGUUAUAACCGGCGAUUUCCGAAUGGGGAAACCCAGUGUGUUUCGACACACUAUCAUUAACUGAAUCCAUAGGUUAAUGAGGCGAACCGGGGGAACUGAAACAUCUAAGUACCCCGAGGAAAAGAAAUCAACCGAGAUUCCCCCAGUAGCGGCGAGCGAACGGGGAGCAGCCCAGAGCCUGAAUCAGUGUGUGUGUUAGUGGAAGCGUCUGGAAAGGCGCGCGAUACAGGGUGACAGCCCCGUACACAAAAAUACACAUACUGUGAGCUCGAUGAGUAGGGCGGGACACGUGGUAUCCUGUCUGAAUAUGGGGGGACCAUCCUCCAAGGCUAAAUACUCCUGACUGACCGAUAGUGAACCAGUACCGUGAGGGAAAGGCGAAAAGAACCCCGGCGAGGGGAGUGAAAAAGAACCUGAAACCGUGUACGUACAAGCAGUGGGAGCACAGAGCAAUCUGUGUGACUGCGUACCUUUUGUAUAAUGGGUCAGCGACUUAUAUUCUGUAGCAAGGUUAACCGAAUAGGGGAGCCGAAGGGAAACCGAGUCUUAACUGGGCGUUAAGUUGCAGGGUAUAGACCCGAAACCCGGUGAUCUAGCCAUGGGCAGGUUGAAGGUUGGGUAACACUAACUGGAGGACCGAACCGACUAAUGUUGAAAAAUUAGCGGAUGACUUGUGGCUGGGGGUGAAAGGCCAAUCAAACCGGGAGAUAGCUGGUUCUCCCCGAAAGCUAUUUAGGUAGCGCCUCGUGAAUUCAUCUCCGGGGGUAGAGCACUGUUUCGGCAAGGGGGUCAUCCCGACUUACCAACCCGAUGCAAACUGCGAAUACCGGAGAAUGUUAUCACGGGAGACACACGGCGGGUGCUAACGUCCGUCGUGAAGAGGGAAACAACCCAGACCGCCAGCUAAGGUCCCAAAGUCAUGGUUAAGUGGGAAACGAUGUGGGAAGGCCCAGACAGCCAGGAUGUUGGCUUAGAAGCAGCCAUCAUUUAAAGAAAGCGUAAUAGCUCACUGGUCGAGUCGGCCUGCGCGGAAGAUGUAACGGGGCUAAACCAUGCACCGAAGCUGCGGCAGCGACGCUUAUGCGUUGUUGGGUAGGGGAGCGUUCUGUAAGCCUGCGAAGGUGUGCUGUGAGGCAUGCUGGAGGUAUCAGAAGUGCGAAUGCUGACAUAAGUAACGAUAAAGCGGGUGAAAAGCCCGCUCGCCGGAAGACCAAGGGUUCCUGUCCAACGUUAAUCGGGGCAGGGUGAGUCGACCCCUAAGGCGAGGCCGAAAGGCGUAGUCGAUGGGAAACAGGUUAAUAUUCCUGUACUUGGUGUUACUGCGAAGGGGGGACGGAGAAGGCUAUGUUGGCCGGGCGACGGUUGUCCCGGUUUAAGCGUGUAGGCUGGUUUUCCAGGCAAAUCCGGAAAAUCAAGGCUGAGGCGUGAUGACGAGGCACUACGGUGCUGAAGCAACAAAUGCCCUGCUUCCAGGAAAAGCCUCUAAGCAUCAGGUAACAUCAAAUCGUACCCCAAACCGACACAGGUGGUCAGGUAGAGAAUACCAAGGCGCUUGAGAGAACUCGGGUGAAGGAACUAGGCAAAAUGGUGCCGUAACUUCGGGAGAAGGCACGCUGAUAUGUAGGUGAAGUCCCUCGCGGAUGGAGCUGAAAUCAGUCGAAGAUACCAGCUGGCUGCAACUGUUUAUUAAAAACACAGCACUGUGCAAACACGAAAGUGGACGUAUACGGUGUGACGCCUGCCCGGUGCCGGAAGGUUAAUUGAUGGGGUCAGCGCAAGCGAAGCUCUUGAUCGAAGCCCCGGUAAACGGCGGCCGUAACUAUAACGGUCCUAAGGUAGCGAAAUUCCUUGUCGGGUAAGUUCCGACCUGCACGAAUGGCGUAAUGAUGGCCAGGCUGUCUCCACCCGAGACUCAGUGAAAUUGAACUCGCUGUGAAGAUGCAGUGUACCCGCGGCAAGACGGAAAGACCCCGUGAACCUUUACUAUAGCUUGACACUGAACAUUGAGCCUUGAUGUGUAGGAUAGGUGGGAGGCUUUGAAGUGUGGACGCCAGUCUGCAUGGAGCCGACCUUGAAAUACCACCCUUUAAUGUUUGAUGUUCUAACGUUGACCCGUGAUCCGGGUUGCGGACAGUGUCUGGUGGGUAGUUUGACUGGGGCGGUCUCCUCCUAAAGAGUAACGGAGGAGCACGAAGGUUGGCUAAUCCUGGUCGGACAUCAGGAGGUUAGUGCAAUGGCAUAAGCCAGCUUGACUGCGAGCGUGACGGCGCGAGCAGGUGCGAAAGCAGGUCAUAGUGAUCCGGUGGUUCUGAAUGGAAGGGCCAUCGCUCAACGGAUAAAAGGUACUCCGGGGAUAACAGGCUGAUACCGCCCAAGAGUUCAUAUCGACGGCGGUGUUUGGCACCUCGAUGUCGGCUCAUCACAUCCUGGGGCUGAAGUAGGUCCCAAGGGUAUGGCUGUUCGCCAUUUAAAGUGGUACGCGAGCUGGGUUUAGAACGUCGUGAGACAGUUCGGUCCCUAUCUGCCGUGGGCGCUGGAGAACUGAGGGGGGCUGCUCCUAGUACGAGAGGACCGGAGUGGACGCAUCACUGGUGUUCGGGUUGUCAUGCCAAUGGCACUGCCCGGUAGCUAAAUGCGGAAGAGAUAAGUGCUGAAAGCAUCUAAGCACGAAACUUGCCCCGAGAUGAGUUCUCCCUGACUCCUUGAGAGUCCUGAAGGAACGUUGAAGACGACGACGUUGAUAGGCCGGGUGUGUAAGCGCAGCGAUGCGUUGAGCUAACCGGUACUAAUGAACCGUGAGGCUUAACC
rnacentral:rRNA from 1 species